AUGGCGAAAUAUUGGUGGGGAAGUUCCCUCGAUCGUCGAUCCUUACACUGGUUAGCCUGGGAUAAAUUGGCUACACCCAAACCCAGCGGGGGGAUGGGUUUUCACGAUAUGCGAGUUUUCAACUUGGCUCUACUGGGAAAGCACGGAUGGAGAUUUAUGACCAAUCCGGAUUCACUUUGCGCCAAGGUUAUGAAAGGUAGAUAUUUUCCCAACUCUGAUUUCAUGCAAGCCUCUGUGCCAAAGUCAUCUUCAGCUGUUUGGAGAGCGAUUGUAUCAGGCCGGAAAGCACUAAACGCAGGGCUUGUGAAGAGAGUGGGCGAUGGAUCUUCUAUUCGGGUGUGGGAGGACAAGUGGAUC
rnacentral:rRNA from 1 species